rnacentral:rRNA from 1 species
UACGUAGGGUGCAAGCGUUGUCCGGAAUUAUUGGGCGUAAAGAGCUCGUAGGCGGUCUGUCGCGUCGGCUGUGAAAACCCGGGGCUCAACCCCGGGCCUGCAGUCGAUACGGGCAGACUAGAGUGCGGUAGGGGAGACUGGAAUUCCUGGUGUAGCGGUGAAAUGCGCAGAUAUCAGGAGGAACACCGAUGGCGAAGGCAGUUCUCUGGGCCGUAACUGACGCUGAGGAGCGAAAGCGUGGGGAGCGAACAGG